GCAAACUUGGUCAUUUAGAGGAAGUAAAAGUCGUAACAAGGUUUCCGUAGGUGAACCUGCGGAAGGAUCAUUAUUGAUAAUUGGAAGGUUGUAGCUGGCCCCUCGGGGCAUGUGCACACCAACCAUUAAUCUCCCACACACACCUGUGAACAUGCCGUAGGCCCUUUCGGUCUAUGUCUUUCAUAAACCCUAUGCAUGUAUCAGAAUGUAACAUAUUUAUUUGCCUUGAAAAGCAACUAAAAUAAUACAACUUUCAACAACGGAUCUCUUGGCUCUCGCAUCGAUGAAGAACGCAGC
rnacentral:misc_RNA from 1 species